rnacentral:rRNA from 1 species
CCUACGGGUGGCAGCAGUGGGGAAUAUUGGGCAAUGGGCGCAAGCCUGACCCAGCAACGCCGCGUGAAGGAAGAAGGCUUUCUGGUUGUAAACUUCUUUUGUCAGGGAGGUGUAGCAGACUGUACCUGUCGAAUUAGCCACGGCUAACUACGUGCCAGCAGCCGCGGUAAUACGGAGGGCGCAAGCGGUGUCCGGAUUUAAGGGGUGUAACGGGUGUGUGGCCGGGUUGACAAGUCAGAUGUGAAAUCCUGGGGCUUAACUGCAGAACUGCAUUUAAAACUGUUGAUCUUGAGUACUGGAGAGGUAGACGGAAUGGAUGGUGUAGCGGUGAAAUGCGUAGAGAUUAGAGAGAACACCAAUGGCGAAGGCAGUCUGCUGGUCAGCAACUGACGGUGAGGCGCGAAAGCGUGGGGAGCAAACAGGAUUAGAUACCCUGGUAGUC